GAUGAACGCUGGCGGCGUGCCUAAUACAUGCAAGUCGAGCGAACGGACGAGGCGCUUGCCUCUCUGCUGUUAGCGGCGGACGGGUGAGUCACACGUGGCUACCCUACCUAUAAGAAUGGGAUAACUUCGGGAACCCGGAUCUAAUACCGGAUAAUAUUUUGAACCGCAUGGUUCAAAAGUGAAAGACGGUCUUGCUGUCCCUUAUAGAUGGUACCUCGCUGCAUUAGCUAGUUGGUAAGGUAACGGCUUACCAAGGCAACGAUGCAUAGCCGAUCUGAGAGGGUGAUCGGCCACACUGGAACUGAGACACGGUCCAGACUCCUACGGGAGGCAGCAGUAGGGAAUCUUCCGCAAAGGGCGAAAGCCUGACGCAGCAACGCCGCGUGAGUGAUGAAGGUCUUCGGAUCGUAAAGCUCUUUUAUUAGGGAAGAACAGAUGUGUGAGUAACUGUGCACAUCUUGACGGUACCUAAUCAGAAAGCCACGGCUAACUACGUG
rnacentral:rRNA from 1 species